GCCUUACACAUGCAAGUCGAACGGCAGCAUGAUCUAGCUUGCUAGAUUGAUGGCGAGUGGCGAACGGGUGAGUAAUACAUCGGAACGUGCCCUGUAGUGGGGGAUAACUAGUCGAAAGAUUAGCUAAUACCGCAUGCGACCUGAGGGUGAAAGUGGGGGACCGCAAGGCCUCAUGCUAUAGGAGCGGCCGAUGUCUGAUUAGCUAGUUGGUGGGGUAAAGGCCCACCAAGGCGACGAUCAGUAGCUGGUCUGAGAGGACGAUCAGCCACACUGGGACUGAGACACGGCCCAGACUCCUACGGGAGGCAGCAGUGGGGAAUUUUGGACAAUGGGCGAAAGCCUGAUCCAGCAAUGCCGCGUGUGUGAAGAAGGCCUUCGGGUUGUAAAGCACUUUUGUCCGGAAAGAAAUGGCUCUGGUUAAUACCUGGGGUCGAUGACGGUACCGGAAGAAUAAGGACCGGCUAACUACGUGCCAGCAGCCGCGGUAAUACGUAGGGUCCAAGCGUUAAUCGGAAUUACUGGGCGU
rnacentral:rRNA from 1 species